CCGGAUGUAUUUCGGUAGAGAAACAGGAAGCGCUUACAGCAGGGAGAGAGAAGGAGAGAGGGAGGUGGAGAGUGAAUGAAACUGGCAGGCCGUGAAAACGCUGCCAUCUCUCAAGGACCGCACUGGCCAAGGCUGGGAUGUGGGUGGCACCAUGAGCGUGAAAGCUUUUGAGCUGGUUCCCGCUGUGGAGCGGGAGCACGUGAUGGGCGAAAAAGUGCGGAUAAACAUCGAAUGCAUUGAGUGCUGUGGCCAACAUCUGUACCUGGGCACCAAUGACUGCUUCAUCCAUCACUUCAUACUAGAGGAGCACACGACAGCCACAGGUAAGCUGGCCUACAAAGCCCAGAAACUCCUCCAAAAAUACCUGGGCCUGAAGAAGCCAGUAGCAGAACUGAAGGCCGCCUCUGCUUUGGAACGUCUAAUUGUCCUCUGUGAUUCAACCAUCACUGUUGUGGACAUGGUUACCCUGGAGCUUGUCCCCUUUGGUGGCACUAAGCUCAAAGGUGUGACUGCGUUUUGUAUCAACGAGAAUCCGGUGACAGGGGAUGCGUUCUGUGUGGAAAUGGCGGUGGUUUUGGCACGCAGAAGGGCAGUCCAGAUAUGUACGGUCCAUGAGGACAAGGUGCUAAUGUUAAAGGAAGUGACCACACCAGAACAGCCCUGUGCCCUGAGCCUGGACGGGUACAAUAUCUGUCUUGCCCUGUCCACGCAGUAUAUGAUUCUGAACUACAGCACAGGAGCCUCUCAGGAUCUGUUCCCUUAUGACUGUGAAGAAAGGAAACCCAUUGUUAAGAGGAUCGGCCGGGAAGAGUUUCUUUUGGCUGGCCCAGGCGGGCUUGGGAUGUUUGCUAAUGCAGAAGGCAUAUCUCAGCGUGCUCCGGUGAGCUGGUCUGAGAGCGUGAUCGCGGCGGCUGUGUGUUUCCCGUAUGUGGUCGCGCUGGAUGAAAGCUUUGUGACCGUUCACAGCAUGUUGGACCAGCAGCUCAAACAGACACUGUCAUUCAGAGAUGGACACCUUAUGCAGGAUUUUGAAGGUAAGGUGGUGUUGGCCUCAUCAAAAGCGGUGUAUAUGCUGGUGCCUCUCCCUCUAGAGCGUCAGAUCCAAGACCUGUUGGCAAGCCAUCGAGUCGAGGAAGCCCUGACCCUCACCGAGGCCGCACAGAGAAACAUUCCCAAAGAGAAAUAUCAGAUAUUGCACAAAAGAAUUCUCCAACAAGCAGGAUUCAUCCAAUUUGGCCAGCUUCAGUUUUUAGAAGCGAAAGAGCAUUUUAGGAAGGGACAGCUGGAUGUACGGGAGCUGAUCUCUCUAUAUCCGCUGCUCCUGCCCGCUUCUUCUUCUUUCACACGUUGCCAUCCACCACUUCAUGAAUUUGCUGACCUGAACCACCUGACCCAGGGGGACCAGGAGAAGGUACAGCGCUUCAAACGUUUUCUCAUCAGCUACCUACACGAGGUGCGCAGCAGCGACAGCGCUAAUGGUUUCCGUGAAGACGUAGAUACGGCGUUGCUAAAGCUGUACGCAGAGACCGGCCACGAGAGUCUUCUGGACUUGCUGGCCUCUGAUAAUGCCUGUCUUCUGGCAGACAGCGCCCCCUGGCUGGAGAAGCAUCACAAGUAUUAUGCUCUUGGACUUCUAUAUCACUACAAUGAUCAGGAUUCUGCUGCUUUACAGAUGUGGGUUAAGAUUGUCAAUGGAGAUCUCCAAGACUCAACACGACCAGAUCUGUUUGAAUAUGUUGUGGAUUUUCUUAGUUUCUGCUCCAACCUUGACCUUGUGUGGCGGCAUGCAGACUGGGCACUACAGAAAGAUCAAAAGGUUGGUGUGCAAAUCUUCACCAAAAGGCCUACCUCAGAGGAGAAGAUGGGGCAGUUAAACCCAAAUGAUGUGAUUGCGUAUUUGGAGAAACACAGUCAGGCUCUUCUGCUCUACCUGGAACACCUGGUGCUAGAGAAGAAAUUGCAGAAAGAGAAGUAUCACACACAUCUGGCUGUGCUGUAUGCAGACAAAGUCCUGGGCUUGAUAUCACGACCAUCAGCCAAUGAGGAACAACUGUCUGCUGCCCGCCAGAAACUACAACGGUUACUGAAAGAGUCCAAUCUCUGCAGAGUCCAGUUACUACUAGGUAAAAUUCAGGACUCCGAGCUGCUGCUACUUGAGCAAGCUACACUUCAUGGAAAGUUAGAAGAACAUGACAAGGCCUUGCACAUUCUAGUGCACCAGCUCAAAGACUCGCCUGCGGCUGAGGAAUACUGCUCUUGGGCCUCUGCAUCUCAGGACCGGUCCUACCGUCAGAAGCUUUUCCACCAACUCUUGAGCGUUUACUUGGACCCGGAUUUACCGGGAGGGGCACAAACAAUAGCUGCAGUCGACCUGCUUAACCGACAUGCUGAAGAUUUUGACGCAGUGCAUGUGUUAAAGCUCCUUCCAGAGGAGUGGUCUCUACCGUUACUCCGUCCUUUCCUGUGUGGGGCGCUGAGGGCUAGUGUACAUGCACGCUGCACUUCCCAGGUUGCAGUGGGGCUGGCCCGGGCACAAAACCUCCAGCUUCAGCAUGACAGGCUGAAGUAUCGAGGCGGCCCAAUAUUAGUGUCUGAAAAGAAGGGAUGCCAGCUGUGCCACAACACCUUCAGCGAGCCAGACUGCGCCUGCUUGCCUGGCGGAAUGCCGGUCCACAUUCACUGUGUCGCCAAGAAAGCCCUGGACUUGCCAAAGCGCCAUCAUGAAAAUGCCCACCGCAGCAAUCACACAUGAAGCUGAUCUGUGGGGCAGGCGACAAAUUCUGGCGUUACACCUGUACCGCACACAUGAGAAGGAAGUGCAUAGGGCAACUGUUCAGAGCCCUCGCAAGAGCAGGACCUGCUUUCCCUGUUAGUGAGGGAGUCAGU